GGGCCUGGCAGAGUGCAGGCCUUAGGGUUAUUUAAUAUGCAGUAGUUGGGAGGGCAGACCAAAAGCUAGUCUCCAGUCUCUGUCUAGAGUUCCAGAUCAAGUCUGAGCAGGUGCAGUGGCUCUGUCUGGAACCUGCUGACUAACCUUGUAAAAUCCAGGGCGCCUCGCUCUUCACCAAGGAAAGCACCGUCCUCACUCCCCAGCCCUCCUCCCUCUCUUUGCCUGGGACAGCUGUUAAUAGGACAAUUACCCAAGAAGCAAAAGAAAGAUCCCAUGCUGAUGUGUCAUCAGUCCCGGUAUAUCCAUUAAAUCAGACUGAGAAGAAGUUGGCUGGAAAAAGUGAGAGCAUGCCCUUGCUCCCUAAGGGAGGGGCUGACAGCCAUCAGAGAGCCUGCGGUGUGGGGUAUGGGGCUGCUUCCGAUUGUCCCUAGCAGCUGACUGUGAUGUGUCUCAUGCUCUGGCAGGGGCAUGAUUCUACGAGCUGAGGAAAUCAAUCGGUCUUCCAGCUAUUUCAGACGUGUAGUGCAUUUCCUUCUGUGGCAAUCAUCCUUCGAAAGUGUGUUCCCACCAACCCGUCAGAGGAGGCAUACCUCCUCCACGUGCUGCCAGCUCUCUUCUGGAUCCUGUUACUACAACGCUUCUCAACCUUGGCUGCACAAGAAUCACCUAGGGAUGGGUUAGGGAUUUAGCUCAGUGGUAGAGCACUUGCCUAGCAAGCGCAAGGCCCUGGGUUCGGUCCCCAGCUCCGAAAAAAAAAAAAAAAAAAAAAAAAGGGAGCUCAGAAAAAGAGCAGCGGCACAGCUCCACCCCACACUGAUUAGAUCCACUCCCCAUCCCCCUUCAGAAUUGAAAACCAGCCGUUUGUAACGAUUUCCUCAGAUGAUCCUAAUAUGUAGACCGAGUAGAGAAUAACUCACUAGCUUGGAACGAGAAUCCAGGUAGGACAAAAACAAGAGUCAUCCUAAUGCUCAGACGAGGAUGCAUGCUCUUCUUGACCUCUACAAUGAAAACACCUCAUUGUUCAUUCAUAUCUCUGUGUAGCAUUUUUUGAAGCUGAGCUCAACUGUCCCAUAGGUCUCCCAGAAUUGCCUCAAACAAAAUUGGGCAAUGUUUGUUGUGUAGCUCUCAGCCUGAUGUGUUGCAAUCAGACAGGUGCAUUGUGAGAUGGGGAGAGAGGGUGGUUCAGAUUUAGAUGGGUUUAAAAAUCCCAGCUUUGCCACUAAUUGGACUAGCCUUAGCUAAAUGAAGACAACAAUUCUGAUCGGCAAAUCUUAAAACUCAGAUUACAGGGGUUGGGGAUUUAGCUCAGUGGUAGAGCGCUUGCCUAGGAAGCGCAAGGCCCUGGGUUUGGUCCCCAGCUCCGGAAAAAAAAAAGGAAAAAAAAAAAAAAAACUCAGAUUACAGCCAGGCAAGGGGGUGCCUAGCACUUGGGAGUUCAAGGCUAGACCAAGAAGUACACUGAGCUCCAGACCAGCCACUGUCUCAGAACAAAGAAGUCAGGAUUCGUAUGUAAAGCCAUUCAUAAAUGGGGCUGAGCUGAGUAUAGGGCUUAUUAUUUAUUAUUUAUUUAUUUUUUAGACCAGAUCUCAUGUAGAUGAGGAUGGUCUUGAGCUUGCUAAGUAAUCGAGGCUAUUCCCGCCUCUGCCUCUCAAGAGACUGGGAUAUAAACAUGCACCACCAGGCCAGGCUUCCUUUUUUGGCCAUUUCUCUCUCCCCACCCACUCUGCAGCUUUGUCUCAGAGAAAGCAGAGGCUCUGAAGGAGUGAGAGCUGUCUCCAGCAUGGCCCCCACUGAAACCCAUCCUGCAGCUACAGCAGGGACACGUUCGAUCUCUGUCCAACACAACACUGCACACAUCUCACCUUCCGAAACACACACCCCUCCCCCUUUUGACAUUAGAGCAGGAAGGACUGCGGUUGGUGCUUGAGAGAGCUGUUUCUUCUUGUCACCCAGGAACAGAUGCUGAAAUCCCAGGACAGACAGCACAGACAAGGCAGCAGCAGGGGGGUGAGUCAGAGGAAUCAGAAUGAUCUCCUCUCCAAGAACUGACAAGGCCCACAGGAGAACCCCACUGGAAACGCCUGUCUCUUGGGGGUUCCAGAAGAAAAAGAAACGUCAUGAGUGCAACUGUGGCAUGGGCUCUGAAUUAGAGAGGUACAGCCCUCCCAAUAUCACACAAUUAUACAACCCUGGAAGAAGCAGAGAAAAAGAGAACCCCAAAGACUACACGUUGGUUUUGUCUUUAAGGGUUUACUUUGAUUUUUAUUCAUGUGUAUAUGUGUGUAUGAAUGUCACAUGUGUGUAGUCUUUGUGGGGUCCAAAGAGAGGACUUUGGAGACCCUGCAGCUAGAGUUAGAGUUACAGGAGGCUGUAAGCUGCCUCACUUCCUUGAUGUACAUAAAACUCAGGUGCUCUGAAAGUGAAGCAAGUGCUUCCUCUCUCUCUCUCUCUCUCUCCCCCCCCCACCCACCCCCCACCACUUCGUGCCCCUUUCCCUGAUUUUUCAAGACAGGAUUUCUUUGUACAGCCCUGGCUAUCCCAGAACUCAUGUGUAGAUGUGUAGGUUAGGCUAGCCUCAAACUCAGAGAGAACCAUCUGCCUUUUUCUCCCAAGUACUGGGACUAAAGGCGUGCAUCACCACCUCCCAGCUCGAAGCAAGCGCUUUUAGACCAGGCUAGCCUCAAACUAACAGAGAUCUCACUGUCUCCACCUCUCAAGUGCUGGGAUCAAGGGUAUGUGCCACCAAGCCUAGGCCUUGUUUUGCCUUUUGAGAUAGAGUCUCCCUAUGUAUCCCAGGUUGUCCUCAAACUUGCAAUCCUCCUGCCUUAGCUCUUCUCAGAAGCUAGGAUUACAGGCAUGUACCAGUACACCUAGCUCUGCCCUAUAUUUUGUGAGGCAACCGUGUGCUUGUUCAUAUGUGUGCAGGCGCACAUAUGUGUAGGUCACAGGACAAGCUCAGGUGUCAUCUUCAAGAACCCUGCUCACCUGCCUGAUACUGGGUCUCUUACUGGCCCGGAGCUCCCAAUUAGACCAGAGUGGUUGGCCAGCAAGCCCUCGAGAUUCUCAUAUGGCUGUCUCCCAAGGAUGGCCACCCAUGUUGGCACAUGGCUCUGAAGACUGAACUCGGGUCUAAGGCUUGAGAAGCAAGCUCUUUACUGACUACCUAGCCAUAGAGCCUUAACUCUGGCCAGACUACCAAGCUGAUUAUCUCUUGUUGCACCUGUAUGCUUUUCUGGGUCCGGCUAUGAACUGGAAGGUUCUCUUCCAGUGAUAACAUUGUGAAUGACACUAUCUAACAUCAUCUCCAUUUGGGAGCCUGCCCGUCUACUUGGAAGCUCGCUAAUGAUAUACCUGUCAGACCCAAAGUCCCCCUUCCCCAAAAUGGCCGUACUACUGACAUUGUCCUAAAAACAAGGACUGGUACUGGGUGAACAAGCGUAAAGGUUUCUGCUCACAAGAAAAAGUAGAUCUGGGGGCUGGAGAGAUGGCUCAGCGGUUAAGAGCACUGACUGCUCUUCCAGAGGUCCUGAGUUCAAUUCCCAGCAACCACAUGGUGGCUCACAACCAUCUAUACCAGAUUCUGGUGUAUCUGAAGACAGCUACAAUGUACCUAUAUAUACUAAAUAAAUAAAAUAUUUAAAAAAAAAAGUAGAUCUGUUCACUGGGAACUUCCCUUGACCUUCCCCCAAAGGCCAACUACCUUUGGUGGCAAAGGGUUCCUAGUUCCUAAUCAGCUCAGUCAGCUCAGAUCCCUACCCUACUGGCUGUCAUAUAAGAUCUUCUCUCUGUUCAGCCAUUUUGUUAUUCUCUCCAUGCCACACCCCCGCCCAAGAGAUAGCCUUGACAGUUUGAUCCACAAUAAACCUUUAUUUCUGCUCAUGAAGCAGUCUAGUUCCGUAGCUUCUCUGCUCCAGCGGGUAAGGUAGCCACCGCUGAAAGGAGGUUUGGAGAAUCCCAGGGGUUCUGUUGAGCGCUUCAGUGGGGCUAUCGUUGAAGAACAUCUCAUUUUUUGAAAUGAUUUUUUCUUUAGGUUUUAUAUAUAUAGGGGCAUGCUUGUGCCCCACCUACUUCCAGUGCCCACAGAAAGCAGAUGAGAGCACUGGAGAUACAGACAGUUUGGUGAGCCGCCGCAUGGGUUCCAGGAACUGAACCCAGGUCCUCUGAAAGAGCAGUCAGUGCGCUUAACCACUGAGCCAUCUCUCCAGCCCCAACAUACAUCCCUUAGAAUGACGAACACGACGGUUCUGAACUUGCUGACUCAUCACUGGAAUGUAAAGCGAUCUCGGUGAUUCUGAGACUGGCAGCAACAGGCGGAGCUGGUGGAGCGCUCAAGGUUGUGUGGCUCCUGUUCCUUCCAGCCUCCCUAUUCCCAGUUCCCACUCCCUCCCUGCCUGGCACCUUCCUCAUGCCCUAUAGGGCCACCCCAGCACCCUCAGGCUCCUAUCUCCCCAGGUCUUCUGUCCCUUCUUUGGAAGAUCAACCUGCUCCCAGUGUGGGUACCAUGUACCAAACGGAGGCUAGGAAAUGACCUGAGGAACUUCGGAUGCUGUUCUUAUGCAAAUGAGCUCAAAAAAUAGGACUGUUACAAAAAUAAAUAAUAAUCCAACCUCCCCCCCCUUAAAUUAUAAAAUAACUUCUCUGUGUUUGGGGAGUCAGCUGGCAUUCUCUCCAAAAUUCUGGAACUGCUUCUGGGUGUGGGCGGCCUCGGUGACCUUGAGCACACUGAACUGCUGUCUUCUUGCUGAGGGGCCUGCUCUCACCCACCGUGAUGACGGAACCUAUCUGCAGGCCCCCCGAAGCAGGGGACAGGCGCACAGAUGUGUUCUUACAAUGCUUUUCAAAGCAAUUAUAGUAGAUGUAAUAGAGUCCCUUUGGGUGAUAAUGGUCCUCUUCAUCCUCAACUCGGUCACCACGCUGGGUGGCCCCCUCAUGUGGCGGAGAUAUUAGGAGUGUAUGGGGCAUUUUGUUUUUCCUAUAUAGGUGCCCUCCAUGGAUUCUUUGAAUAUCUGGAAGCCUGCACUGAUAUUCUUGUAGUACGGAGGAGGAGACUUGUUCUUAUCAGUUUCUCCCAGCCAAACCCUCUUCUUGUUUGAAAGAUCUCGGGAGGCUUUUGUCAAGCACGCUCAGCCUGAAUGCCCACUGUCUUCCCUGCAGCCUGAGAAAAAGCCACAUCAACUGUAUAACAUAUCCAGCCAGCAUGACCACCAAUCUGACUUCUCAUGAUCUAGAAUCCAGACGAAAUGCCCAAAGACUGACUCCCCACCACACACACACGAUGCACCACAUACUAGACUAGACUCCCAAUUACAACUCUGAUGGCCUUUGAGGAAGACAUGGUCACACCUUCACAGGAAGACUGAAUCAGUGGAUGGCUACCAGGGCGUCUUCCUGGCUCACUGUUACUUUGUCCUGUUCCUAGUUCAAAUCUUACUUGUUUGCUUAGUUGGAUUGUCGUUGUAACAUUUAUUUAUUGUUUAUGUACAUUCAUGUGUGCAUGCCUCAGGCAUGUCUUUAAUCCCAAUGUUUGCCCUUGGACCCCGGACAAGGAGCUGAGGUGCACAUCUUACAUACCAAAGCAGACCUGGCCGCCGGGUUCUCCCAGCAUCCCUCAGUCUCUACCUGACAUUCCCUGCCCCCAACCCUGAACUUUUCAGCCCAGAGGUUGAGCUGCCCUUCCCCCAGAGGUUCUCCCCUAUAUAGUCCAAACAUAUAGGGACUUUUUGUUCUCUCUCUCUCUCUCUCCCUCUCUUUCUCCAUCUCUCCCCCCUCAGUCUACCCCUCCCCCUCUGUCUUUCUCUCUUUUCCUUCUCUUCUCUCUCUGCAGGCAUGCACCCUUUCUCUCCCUGCCCUCCAUGGCCACUCCCCUGGCCUCAACCCUUGGGGCCAGUGAACUGGCCUGACAGCAGCUUCCUAAUAAACCUGCCUUUAAUAAUAUACUCUGGCUUGAAUUGGCUCAUUUCAUCAGCAGAGAAAUAACCAAGCCAUCAGAUGGUGCUGAAACCCUGGGUUUGAAUUGGUUCAUUUCACCAGCGUAGAAAUAACCUAACACCCAGUACUCAGGAAGCAGAGAAAGAAAGAUCUCUCUGAGUUCGAGGCCAAGUUCCAGGAUAGCAAGGGCUACACAGAGAAAUCCCAAUUUGAAGAACAAACAAACAAAACAAAACAAAAAGGAAAAAAGAAAAGAAACUUUGGGGCUAGAGAGUCAGCUUAGUGGUUAAGAGCACCGACUGCUCUUCCAGAGGCCCCAGCACCCACAUGGCAGCUCACAACUAUUAGAGUCAUUUAUGGGAUGCGUUGUGCUCCACUCUACCCCACAGAGCUCCUGAAUAAGACACAGAAACUUGGUAUUAUCGUUACAAGCUGUUUGCACUAUGCUGGGCAGGUUCUGACCUAUUCUGACCUAUAUCCCAGCCAUCAGCUCUGCCUUACUUGCUGUUUGAGUCUCUCCCAGCUAACUCUGCUCCAUAUGUGUCCUCAGGGAGAAUUCCUCUUGGCCAUGUGGGUCCAUCCCACAGUCAUGGAUACCUCCUCCUCUCGGAGACUCCUCACUCAAUUCUAAGUCCCGCCUUCCUUUCCUUUGUGCCCAGUCAUAAGCCCCAGCCAUUUAUUGACCAAUCAGGGAUUAUUGGGGAACAGUCUUGACAGUACAUAGGUUAAUACAGUGCCCCGAGAUCAGGUUACAACCCGGAUAGGGGCACAAAACUCAGCUUCUGAAUACAUAGCAUCUGUCUGUAACUCUCGCACAGACAGACAUGUAGGCAAAACACCAAUGCACAUAAAGUAAAAAUCGUUUAUAUAUUCUAAGUCAGAAGACUAAUUGUUUCUUGCUCCCACCAUGUCCAUUCUGAGGAUUAAACUCAGGCCAGAAAGAGAGCAUGGAAACAAACUCAGUGUGAGACCUAGCUAGUGACAUUGAGUGACCAGCAGAGCUGCCUUUCGAUGAGUCGUCAUCAUCACCAUCAUCAUCAUCAUUAUUAAUUGGACUUUUGGUUUCUUUGUGUAGCCCUGACUGUUCUGGAACUCACUCUGUAGACCAAAAUGACCUUGAACUGCCUUCCUCUGCCUCCCAAGUGCUGGAUUAAAGGUAUAUACCUAUACUAUACCACACCCAGAUGAUGAUGAUGAUGAUGAUUAUUGAAACAGGCUCUCCCUGUGCAGCCCUAGCUAGCCUAGAACUUGCUGUGUAGACCAAGCUGGCCUCAAACUCACAGAAGUACACCUGUUUCUGCUUCCCAAAUGCUGGGAUUAAAGGCAUGCACCUCCAUACCCAGCACAGUUUGUUUGUUUUUGCGUGUGCUAGCUUGUCCAUGUGUGCCCCACAAGUGUGAAAUGCCCGUGGAAGCUAGAAGAGGUAUCGGAUCCCCAGGAACCUGAGUCACAGGUGGUUGUAAGCCACAUGACGGGGGUGUGGGAACUGAACUCAGGUCUCCGGCAAGAACAUUGAAUUCUUUUGACUAGGGAGCUGUCUCUCCAGUCCCCUUGAUGAGGAUAUUUAAGAAGAAACUUUCAGGGGUUGGGGAUUUAGCUCAGUGGUAGAGCGCUUGCCUAGGAAGCGCAAGGCCCUGGGUUUGGUCCCCAGCUCCGAAAAAAAGAUCCAAAAAAAAAAAAAAAAAAAAAAAGAAGAAACUUUCAGGCACUAAAGUGGCUCAGUAGGUAAAGGCACUUGACACCAAGCCGGACAAACUAAAUCCAACCCCAGGACCUAGAAAGCAGAAGAAGGGAAUUGACACUCGUAGGCUGUCUCUGACCUCCACACGAGCACACCCUCCCCCCAUCAAUACGUAGUAAGCAAGUAAAUAAAUAAAUAAAUGGAUAAAUAAAAGGAUCAGUAUGUGUAAUUUUUAAAAGCAACAACAAAAAAAAAGAUGGGCCGAAGAGACAGCUCAGUGGUUAAGAGCACCAACUGCUCUUCCAGAGGUCCUGAGUUCAAUUCCCAGCAACCUCAUGGCGGCUCACAACCAUCUGUAACUCCAAGAUUUGACACCCUCACACUUAGACAUGCAUGCAGGUGACACGCCGACACACAUGAAACUAAAAAAAGAAAAAGGUGAAAGUCGGAAAGAGAAAGGCUCGGUGUCUUUAAGUGGAAAGAAGUCUGGUGUGACUGCAAUGCUGUAUACUGAGGCUCUCAAGGUCAGAAUGGGGAAACCUGCCCUGUCCCAAGCCUGGGAACCCUCCCACUCAACUGCCUAGCCCAAUCAGCAGCUUGAACAGGUCACAUGAAGUCUGACUCUGCUCAAUGGAUAUGUCCAAAAACACCUCCUUCCUAGACAUGGUGGCUUUGACAAAAGCCAUACAGUGAGAGCUCUUGUGUAUGACAUAUCUGUCAGUGUUCUGAAUGCCUGGCUGCCCAAGCACCGGUAACUACCUCACUCUAUGUGUUGUACUCUGGCGGGGUAGUCGCAGGCUCAGGCUGGAUUUCAAGUGUGCUGUAUCCUACUGGCCUCAUCCACCUCUUGGCCUUGGAAAAUGUCUGGGGGAGGUGAGAGUCCUACCGUAGCUCACAACCAUCAGAUGUCCUCCUCUAGUGUGUCUGAAGACAGUGACAGUGUCCUCACAUACAUAAAAUAAAUACAAUUUUAAAAAAGAGAGAGAAAUCUCAAAAAAUUAAAAAAAAAAAAGAGUUCUUUAAAAAAAAAAAAAGUGAUGAGCUAUUUGUCCCAAUGACACCUACUAGGGGGUCCUGAGGAAAAAGUGAACCUUACCUGAGAUUCGGGCUGACCCAGGACAGCCACGUGGAGACCUCUGGGCACCAAAGCUACAGGCCCCCAACCUAGGCCAGAAGAGGCAGUAAGUGGGAAGAGUGGGGAGCUUCUGGUUCACCUGAGAGACUGGGAGGUGCAGAGAGAGGCCAGAGGGAAGAAUCCAAGUGGGGAGAUGAGGUUCUGCGGUGUGGGGGGUCUGGCGGAAAGCUCGUUCAGAGAGAGGGGACGCACACAGAGACCAGCCACGCAGGACUGGGUGGAGGGGCAGCGUC